UGCUCUCCCCACUACCCCCUUAUUUUUGUUUUUUUUUAUUUUUGCCUUCUUCCUAUAAAUGAAAUAUGUCUGAUGUUGGGAUGUUUGGAAACCCUACUACGGGAAGAUGAGAAAAGAAAAACGAAAAAGAAAACGAAUGCAAGCAUUUGAAGAAUGAAUGAAUGAAUGAAUGAAAGACAGAAAGAAAGAAAGGAAAAGGAAAAGAAUGGAUGAGAGAAAAGAAAGAAAGAAAGAAAACGAAAAAAAAAGAAAGAAAGAAAGGGAGAAAGCCAGGACGGAAAACGCUAGAAAGAAAGACGAGAAGAAUAUCCACCAAUCCUGACUGGAUUACGAAAUUGUGGGUCGAACUAGGCUGGGUGAUUAACCUGAAUAUGGAAGUGGAAUUGACAAAUCGAUUUGGUUGGAUAGAAGUGCUGCUAGUUCCACGGUGUGACUAAUCGAUGAACAGGAAUAAAGCGUCAGUGAAGAAAAUGAUCACAAUUUUGGCGUGGCAAAAGAAGUUCUAGGAAAAUAUCGCAUUUCAGUUUUUUUAAAAAUCCAUAAUAAUUAGUAAUUCGUAUUUAUUUGCUGUCACAGUAAAGAAAUGACAAAAAGAGAGUGAGUGAUAUUAGAAGUAAAAUAAAAAUGAUUGCAAGGAUGAGGUGAUUGUUCCACUGCCUUGACGGGAAAAUAGGGAAAAAGUAAAUGAGAGAAAUAAGAUGAGAAUUAUUAGGAGCAAAAGUUUAGUUUUAUGUUGCUUUAAGCAGGAUAUGUAACAGGAAAACAAUAUAUUGAUAAAUAACCAGGCAUUUUGUUACGAAUUUUGUGUUAAAUGAUAAUUCCGGAUAAAUGAUAAUUAAUGUCAAUAUUUCAGUGAUUUGUAAAUAACAUUUUGAUAUUUUUGUAAAAGUAAUAUCAUUUUUAAUUAUUAUUUUCUUAUAUCAUUAAACUGUUCAAUGAUCUAGCACAAUACACUAUUUGUAAAAAAAAGAAAAAAAGUGAACUGUCAUUUUUAACUACACCUGUUUAUGUGUUAAUAUACCAUCAUGACACAUCAUUUUAUUUUUGUGUGUUGACAUGCACUAUCACAUUUACGAAUUUUUGGACUCAGCUUUUUAUUUAAGAUCAAAGUUUAUUAAGUACAAAGUGCAAAAUCUUUUAGGUAAGAUAUUUGUCAAUAGUUUCACCCAUCGUUCUGAAUCAAUGUGCCUAUUCUCUGUAAGCAAUAAAACUGGCAGUAAAAAUAAUUAAACAAAUAUAUUUUAAUACACUUAUUAAAUGACAAUACAUUACUUGCAUGUCAUGAUAAUAUAGUACAUACAAAUGAAGGCAUUACCUGUAUGUGAGAAAAAACAGUCCUGUUUUAUUCAAUAAAACACAUGAAAAAGAACAUUUGAUCAGUCAAUAAUCUUUAAGCCUUUUCCUCCUCUGACAUUUUACCUUCCCAUAACCGUUUUACCUGUGCAUUUUUGUCGGCUGAAAAUGUUUUUCAUGGUUUCGACUGGCCUUGUAUUCAUGGCUUUUGAUGCAAACAAACAGAAACCCGUAAGUACAGAGCUUUCCGUUUAUAUACAUUAAGUGUAUAUAAACUUUCCGUUUAUAUACACUCCGAUAGAAGCCUAUCUGUCAACAGACGAAUUUUAUGAAACUAAGUCUGUGAAAAAUAUAGAGUCCAAAGUAACUAGUGAUGUCCUGUGUCUAAAAAGAAAAAAAAAUCAUGUAAGUUUAAUGAAGUUCAUAAAAUUGAAUAAAAUCUUGUUCUAUAA